GCCUCUGUAGCGCAGUGGAUAGUGCGUUGGACUUCAAAUCCAAAUGCUGAGGGUUCGAAUUCCUCCUGGGUUU